GUGUGCCGAACAGCAGUCGGCACAAAGGCCCGAAACUGAUUAAACUGUGGGCUUUUUGAUUUUCCAAACUGGGGGCCCACAUAUAGUGGCCUCUUUCUCUCCCUUCUCUCUUCCCUCUCUCAUGAAAAUUCUCCAAUUGCGUUCGUGAAUAAUUUCUGGAUUACAGAUCUGGAGCUUUGAAUGAAGUGAUUGAUCGAAAUGAUUACCAUUCCAUAUUUGACCGCCUUGACCACUCUCUUCAGCUAUGGAUUGCUCUUCGCCUUCGGUCAGUUUCGAGACUUUUUCAGAAAGAUCUUUGAUUGGUGGAAAGCCAGCAAUCUUCAGGGUUACGCGCCGAUCUGCUUAGGGCUUGAGGAUUUCUACAUUCGCAGGCUGUAUCUUCGUAUUCAGGACUGUUUUGGCCGGCCAAUAUCGAGUGCUCCAGAUGCUUGGUUUGAUGUAGUUGAAAGGUUCUCCAAUGACAAUAACAAGACACUAAAACGAACCACAAAGAUAAGUAAGUGUCUUAACUUGGGGUCAUACAAUUACCUUGGAUUUGCCGCAUCAGAUGAAUUCUGCACACCACGUGUAAUCGAGUCUUUGAAGAGGUUUUCCCCAGGUACCUGUAGCACCCGUGUUGAUGGAGGCACCACAACAUUGCAUAAAGAAGUGGAGGAAUGUGUUGCAAACUUUGUUGGAAAGCCUGCUGCAAUAGUCUUUGGCAUGGGCUAUGUGACAAACUCUGCUAUCCUUCCGGUCCUGAUUGGGAAGGGGGGGUUGAUAAUUAGUGAUUCUUUGAACCACAACUCCAUUGUCAAUGGUGCUCGAGGAUCAGGAGCUACCGUUCGAGUUUUCCAACACAAUAUACCAUCUCACUUGGAGAAAGUUUUGAGAGAACAAAUUGCUGAGGGACAACCCCGGACACAUAGACCAUGGAAGAAGAUAAUUGUUGUUGUGGAAGGAAUAUAUAGCAUGGAAGGGGAACUCUGCAAACUCCCAGAGAUUGUUGCAAUCUGCAAGAAAUAUAAGGCAUAUGUUUACUUGGAUGAGGCACACAGUAUUGGAGCAGUUGGGAAAACAGGAAGAGGUGUCUGUGAGCUCUUAGGUGUGGAUACCGCUGAUGUGGAUAUUAUGAUGGGAACUUUCACAAAAUCUUUUGGAUCAUGUGGUGGUUAUAUUGCUGGAUCCAAGGAGCUGAUUCAAUAUCUAAAGUACACUUGUCCUGCUCAUCUAUAUGCAACCUCAAUAUCACCACCAGCUGCACAACAGAUUAUAUCUUCCAUCAAGGUUAUUCUUGGAGAAGAUGGCUCUAGUAGAGGGGCUCAGAAAUUGGCACGAAUACGUGAGAACAGUAACUUUUUCAGAUCAGAACUGCAGAAGAUGGGCUUUGAGGUUCUUGGAGAUAAUGAUUCUCCUGUAAUGCCAAUAAUGCUUUACAAUCCAGCCAAAAUUCCUGCCUUUUCGCGGGAGUGUCUCAAACAGAAUGUUGCUGUUGUGACAGUUGCUUUUCCAGCUACUCCACUUCUUUUGGCCAGGGCACGGAUCUGCAUUUCUGCUUCUCAUACCAGGGAAGACCUGAUUAAAGGCUUAGAGGUUAUCAGCCGAGUUGGUGACCUAGUGGCCAUAAAGUAUUUCCCUGCUGAGCCCAGGAAGCAACAGCUGGAGGAAGGCAGAGUGAAACUGGAGUGAAAGAUUAAGAAAACAGUGGGGUGCAACUGUUUAGCCUCCGAAAGGAGAUCUAGCUUUGAUCUAACUACUGGUAAAUAAGAGAUUGUAUUAGAAAAAGCUUAGAAGAGGCCAAAAGAGUACCGCAAGCAACGUCCAAGAAGCUAGGUAAAAAGAAAGAAGAAAACCUUUCUCCUAUUUACACAAAAGCCACUCUAUAAUUGGCUUCAUUGAUUCAUUAUAGUGAAGAGUGGCUUAGAUUUUUCUAGUCAGUAGUAAUAGAUAGAGAUGGAAGUGGGUUUCUGUAAUAGGAAGCCACAAAGUGGGUUGGUGCCCGGUGGGUUGGUGGGGAAAGGUUCAAACCUGCUUCUUUAAGAUUGUACAGGCGCCACAGUAAUAAAUAUCGAAUAAUAAUAAUAAAUACAACUGAUGCAUAUUUUCUGAGGUUUUAGCAA